rnacentral:rRNA from 1 species
GUGGGCAAUAUUGGACAAUGGGCGAAAGCCUGAUCCAGCCAUGCCGCGUGUGUGAAGAAGGUCUUCGGAUUGUAAAGCACUUUAAGUUGGGAGGAAGGGUAGUAACCUAAUACGUUGCUACUUUGACGUUACCGACAGAAUAAGCACCGGCUAACUUCGUGCCAGCAGCCGCGGUAAUACGAAGGGUGCAAGCGUUAAUCGGAAUUACUGGGCGUAAAGCGCGCGUAGGUGGUUCAGUAAGUUGGAAGUGAAAUCCCCGGGCUCAACCUGGGAACUGCUUUCAAAACUGCUGAGCUAGAGUACGGUAGAGGGUGGUGGAAUUUCCUGUGUAGCGGUGAAAUGCGUAGAUAUAGGAAGGAACACCAGUGGCGAAGGCGACCACCUGGACUGAUACUGACACUGAGGUGCGAAAGCGUGGGGAGCAAACAGGAUUAGAAACCCGAGUAGUCC